GUUAUUCAAGACUACUACCAGCUCACGUGGGACAACAUAACCCCUAUCCCAGGUGAUUUCAAUUGGCAUGAAGUGGCGGAGAUCUUAUUGGGGCGACAAAAUGCAUGGCCACUCCCCACCACCGGUGGCACCAAAUUGAGCUGACACCAUCUAUAGCCAUCCUGUGGCUGUUUAUGUGCCACAACAUUGAGCCGACCUCUCACAGGACCACAUUCACAGAUCCCACAGCUGGAUUCCUUUGUCACUUGGUGCGAGG
rnacentral:lncRNA from 1 species